rnacentral:lncRNA from 1 species
UAUAGUCAUUCCCUUUUUGGUUCAUGUAUCAACUUUCUUUUGUUGAUUUAGAAAUGUAAAAGUUGUAAACAUUCAUGUAUUUUGGGAGAAUGAUUAUGAUAUAAAAAGAUAUUAUGAAUGAAAGGAAAUGAAUGUAAUAGUUUUAGUUACUAGUAUUUUGUUUAAAUGUAAUCAAAUAUUUUGUAUGGUUGUAUGUUGUA